rnacentral:rRNA from 1 species
AUUGAACGCUGGCGGCAGGCCUAACACAUGCAAGUCGAGCGGCAGCGGGACCUUCGGGUUGCCGGCGAGCGGCGGACGGGUGAGUAAUGCCUAGGAAUCUGCCUGUUAGUGGGGGAUAACGCGGGGAAACUCGCGCUAAUACCGCAUACGUCCUACGGGAGAAAGCGGGGGCUCUUCGGACCUCGCGCUAACAGAUGAGCCUAGGUCGGAUUAGCUAGUUGGUGGGGUAACGGCCCACCAAGGCGACGAGCCGUAACUGGUCUGAGAGGAUGAGCAGUAACACUGGAACUGAGACACGGUCCAGACUCCUACGGGAGGCAGCAGUGGGGAAUAUUGGACAAUGGGCGAAAGCCUGAUCCAGCCAUGCCGCGUGUGUGAAGAAGGUCUUCGGAUUGUAAAGCACUUUAAGUUGGGAGGAAGGGUUGUAAGCUAAUAUCUUGCAGCUUUGACGUUACCAACAGAAUAAGCACCGGCUAACUCUGUGCCAGCAGCCGCAGUAAAAC